rnacentral:misc_RNA from 1 species
UUUUUCAAGGAUGGGAAAACAUCACCAUGUCCAGGAGGGUACCAUCCAUCCUUGUCAGUGCGUCCUUUACUAGGGAGUGGAAGAUAGUCCUCAGCAACCAAACGUGGAUACUGGCUCUGGUUGAAAGUAUGAAUCUCCACAUUUGAACCUUUGUAUUUUUCAAUGAUCUUUUGAGUAUCAUCAUGGGUGUUAAAUGAGUUCAUCAGAAGUAAAGGAACGUUGCACCCAUAUAUGGAAUUAAGAUUCUCUAUUUGGAUAACAAUCAAGUCAAGAAAUGUCAAACCAUUCCGGACUUCAAUGACUGACUUAGGACCCGUGCAGCCCAUUGUUGUCCCCAAACCUCCAUUAAGCUUCAAAACGACAAGUUUGUCCAAUAGUUUCUUAGUUUCAGCAGGAUCAUUAGGUACAGGUGCCAAGGAAUCAUAAGGAACCACUACUUCGUCUGUUGGAGUCUGGAUCUUGCUCCACUCAACAUGCUGUGCUUCCCCACUGAGAUAGCGGGAGACAAGGUUGAUAAAUCCAGAUUUCUCAUUGUCAGUUAUCUGGGUAAGACCAGAAACAGCAGCUUUAAGCUUGGAGAGCUUCUCGGUAUCAGCAGGGCUAAGAGUAGCAGCAGAGGCCAUGGUGUAACAACAAACAAGGAAUGCAAAGCGAGAGAGAAAAGCGAUGAAGAGAAUGACCCACUUGAGAAAACAAGGGA